rnacentral:rRNA from 1 species
UACGUAGGGUGCAGGCGUUAAUCGGAAUUACUGGGCGUAAAGCGUGCGCAGGCGGUUUGCUAAGAGAGAUGUGAAAUCCCCGGGCUUAACCUGGGAACUGCGUUUCUAACUGGCAGGCUUGAGUGUGGCAGAGGGGGGUGGAAUUCCACGUGUAGCAGUGAAAUGCGUAGAGAUGUGGAGGAACACCGAUGGCGAAGGCAGCCCCCUGGGCUAACACUGACGCUCCUGCACGAAAGCGUGGGGAGCAAACCGG